rnacentral:rRNA from 1 species
UACGUAGGGUGCAAGCGUUAAUCGGAAUUACUGGGCGUAAAGCGUGCGCAGGCGGUUAUGUAAGACAGGUGUGAAAUCCCCGGGCUUAACCUGGGAACUGCAUUUGUGACUGCAUAGCUAGAGUACGGUAGAGGGGGAUGGAAUUCCGCGUGUAGCAGUGAAAUGCGUAGAUAUGACGGAGGAACACCGAUGGCGAAGGCAAUCCCCUGGACCUGUACUGACGCUCAUGCACGAAAGGCGUGGGGAGCAAACGAGG